UAUACUGCUGACUGUCAUCAUCUCCAGGUCCACGAUGUACUCCCUCGGUCCUGUUAGCGACUUCACCAGCACAAGCAUUGCACUUACAGGGCUUGUUUGCUGAAAUAAGAGAAAAAAGAGGGAGGGAGAUAAUAAAAUCAUUUUUCUGGGGUAAGAGUUUCUUUUAUUGCAAGUAUGCCUCCUAUAGUAUUUAGGAGAAAAAUUUUGAGGGUGGGAAGAAAGAACCACUAUUUAGACCACUAUUACCCCUUGUGUAGCUGUGGUUAUUAAUUCCAAGUUAUAGUGACUGACUUCCUUGAUAGCUCCUUGAUUUCUAUUCCUUCUUCUUUGUUAACAUUUCUGUUCACUUUUAUUGAGUAGCUCCAACCUUUAUAGAGACUCAAGUUCAGGUGAGACUCUGAUAAGUUUUGAAAUGGUAUGCAAAGUUGUCAUUUUUUACUUCUCAACAUUGUGCAUCUGGCUUAAAUUCUGGUGAGACACAGUUAAUUUCAAUAGAAUGCAAAAAUGCUAUGUUAUGUGGGGAUAAACAGGAAUUCAAGAAGAUGCAUAAAGAUUUAUUCACACAGAGAAAAAGAGGAGGGACGUUGGGCAUUGAAAGAAGGCUUCUGAAUGCCAGAGGUAAGGAAUUUCCCCAGUAUUCUCACAAAAGGGAUAUAAAUAUAAAUCCUAUAUCCCACAUAUCCUUUCAAGAAUCAGAUCAAGUCUCCUGACCAUCAAGAAACCUUCUUUGACUAUUCUAACCCACAUUAAUUCUUUGACAUCUUUGAACCAUGGAACACCUAGCAUGGAGCUGAGAGCCCAGUGAGGCUUAAUUAAGGAGUGCCAGCUUAUUAUUAUGCAUUCUCUGCACAAGUGGAAUUUCAGUGGAGAAACUUUGUAAUACUUGAUCCAACUAUUUUGAAUUACGUGAUAUGAAAUUGUUGGGGAUUGAAUCAUGCCUUCCCCAAAAGGCAGGUUCAGGUCCCAAUUCCUGGUUCUAUGGGUGUGAACCCAUUUGUAAACAGGACCUUUGAAGACGUUAUUAAAGUGUGUCCAAACUGAAUGUGGGUG